rnacentral:rRNA from 1 species
GACGUAGGGGGCAAGCGUUGUUCGGAAUUAUUGGGCGUAAAGCGCUCGUAGGCGGGACUGGAAGUCCGUGUUGAAAGACCUCGGCUCAACUGAGGGACCGGCUCGGAUACUCUAGUUCUUGAGGCAAUCAGAGGGUGAUGGAAUUCCCGGUGUAGCGGUGAAAUGCGUAGAUAGUCGGGAGGAACACCAGUGGCGAAGGCGAUCACCUGGGGUUGUUCUGACGCUGAGGAGCGAAAGCUAGGGGAGCAAACGGG